GUACACGCUGUGACUAGCAUAUCAAUAAGCGGAGGAAAAGAAACUAACAAGGAUUCCCUUAGUAACGGCGAGUGAAGCGGGAAGAGCUCAAAUUUGAAAUCUUCAAGGUUUUACCUUGACGAAUUGUAGUUUAAAGAAGUGUUUUCUGCUGAAGUUUUGGUAAAAGUUCCUUUGGAAUAGGACAUCAUAGAGGGUGAGAAUCCCGUAUUUGACCAUUAUUUUCAGCUUUGUGAUACACUUUCAAAGAGUCGGAUUGUUUGGGAAUGCAGUCCAAAAUGGGUGGUAAAUUUCAUCUAAGGCUAAAUAUUGGCGAGAGACCGAUAGCGAACAAGUACCGUGAGGGAAAGAUGAAAAGAACUUUGAAAAGAGAGUUAAAUAGUACGUGAAAUUGUCAAAAGGGAAGCGUUUAACACCAGUGUUGUUUUCUGAAAAUCAACCUCUGUUAGCUUUAUGCAUGUUUGUUUAGACCUAAUCAGCUAUCUUUCAUGUUCUAUUGUUUGCAGUGGUGCACUUUUCAGUUUACAGGUCAACAUCAGUUUUUUUUACCGUAAAAAAGUUAAAGAAAGGUAGCUCAUGGCUCCGGUCGUGAGUGUUAUAGUCUUUUUCCUAUGCGGUAGGAGAGACUGAGGUCUGCAGUGUAGGCUAUUUGGCUAGAUACUCAGGUGCUAUGUGAUACCAUUUCAUAAACAACUUGUUGAUUAUGUUUUGUCUAUUGCAUACUCGCUUGUACUAUCAUACCUACGCUUAGGAUGUUGAGUAGCGACAUACGCAC
rnacentral:rRNA from 1 species